GAUGAAGAACGUAGCGAAAUGCGAUAAGUAAUGUGAAUUGCAGAAUUCAGUGAAUCAUCGAAUCUUUGAACGCACAUUGCGCCCCUUGGUAUUCCGAGGGGCAUGCCUGUUCGAGCGUCAUUAUAACCCCUCAAGCUCAGCUUGGUGUUGGGGCCUGCUGCACUGGCAGCCCUUAAAAUCAGUGGCGGCGCCAUCUGGCUCUAAGCGUAGUAAUUCUUCUCGCUAUGGAGUCCUGGUGGAUGCUUGCCAUCAACCCCCAAUUUUUCUAUGGUUGACCUCGGAUCAGGAAGGGAUACCCGCUGAACUUAAGCAUAUCAAUAAGCGGAGGA
rnacentral:misc_RNA from 1 species